CAGCAGUGUUGUGGACCCAGAUCCAGAUUGGAAGAAGAUCCAAAGGUUCUUUUCCAAUGUGUGGAGAAUGAUCUCCAGUCCUUUAAAAAAGAUCCAGAAUUUCUUAUCCAGAGGGUUCAGGAACAUUUUUUGCAGAAACCUCACUAUGCCUACUGAUAAUGUCAGGAUUUUGUACAAGGAUGACUCAAACUCUGAUGGAUCUUCAGGCCAUGGUCCCUCCAAUGAUGUGAUACCAGUUUCCU